ACCGUACAAUGAUAAUGGCCUUCUCUGUUUACUUGCAAUACAGUGGGGAGACGCCACCGUUGAUGGGACAAGCCGAAAGUCGCAACAACAAUAUGGUAGCUAGCCAACACUUUUACAAGUGACACGUCCAGGUUUUGUGAUUUUAUAGUGAACAACUGGAGUGUCAUGAAACAGCUUAAAGCACGCUGAAGGAGGAGAGAGGACACGCUUGCUACAAGAUACACAAGGUCACUAUGUUCCUGCCUCUUCUAGAAGAAAGAAAGAGGGGGGAAAAAAAAGAAGUAUGCCUGCAGCCCAAAAAUGCACCUUCUCAUCGGAUAGCCCGCUGGUGUGGCCUCUUUUGAGUGCCUUGUUGUCACAAUGUGGAAAAGCCCUGCAACAACCCGGUGGGAUAUAUUCUAACCACUGGAGGUUUUACGCAAUUGUAUUUUUAUACCUCAAACAUGUACUUAUGUACAGGGAUAAAAAAGAUGCCAGAUACCAGGUCAUAGUACUGGUAUUUAAUUGACAAUUGAACAAGCCGUGGUUUCAGUGCAUUCAUUAUUUGAGAGCAGAGAAAAGGGCUUGAUUAUUCACAAUUUUGUAGCAUCAUUUUAUAUACUUGCCUAUUUUUAAAUCAUUCAAUUUUGGCAGGGUUGUUACCAACACUUGUCUGUGGUGUGUCAAAUUUCUGACAUUUAUUUUCACUUUACAGGGGCUUUUAAGUCUUCUAGUUUAUCUAAAAGUCUAUCUGUGGCAGGGAGCAGGGCAUACAUUAAUAAAAGAA